rnacentral:rRNA from 1 species
AUUGAACGCUGGCGGCAUGCUUUACACAUGCAAGUCGAACGGCAGCGCGGGCUUCGGCCUGGCGGCGAGUGGCGAACGGGUGAGUAAUGCAUCGGAACGUGCCCAGUAGUGGGGGAUAGCCCGGCGAAAGCCGGAUUAAUACCGCAUACGACCUGAGGGUGAAAGCGGGGGACCGAAAGGCCUCGCGCUAUUGGAGCGGCCGAUGUCGGAUUAGCUAGUUGGUGGGGUAAAGGCUUACCAAGGCGACGAUCCGUAGCUGGUCUGAGAGGACGACCAGCCACACUGGGACGGAGACACGGCCCAGAGGCCUGCGGGAGGGAGCAGUGGGGAAUUUUGGACAAUGGGGGCAACCCUGAUCCAGCCAUGCCGCGUGCGAGAAGAAGGCCUUCGGGUUGUAAACCGCUUUUGUUCGGGAAGAAAUCCUCUGGGCUAAUACCCCGGGUGGAUGACGGUACCGGAAGAAUAAGCACCGGCUAACUACGUG